GAUGAACGCCGGCGGCGUGCCUAAUACAUGCAAGUCGAGCGAACGGACGAGAAGCUUGCUUCUCUGAUGUUAACGGCGGACGGGUGAGUAACACGUGGAUAACCUACCUAUAAGACUGGGAUAACUUCGGGAAACCGGAGCUAAUACCGGAUAAUAUUUUGAACCGCAUGGUUCAAAAGUAAAAGACGGUCUUGCUGCCACUUAUAGAUGGAUCCGCGCUGCAUUAGCUAGUUGGUAAGGUAACGGCUUACCAAGGCAACGAUGCAUAGCCGACCUGAGAGGGUGAUCGGCCACACUGGAACUGAGACACGGUCCAGACUCCUACGGGAGGCAGCAGUAGGGAAUCUUCCGCAAUGGGCGAAAGCCUGACGGAGCAACGCCGCGUGAGUGAUGAAGGUCUUCGGAUCGUAAAACUCUGUUAUUAGGGAAGAACAUAUGUGUAAGUAACUGUGCACAUCUUGACGGUACCUAAUCAGAAAGCCACGGCUAACUACGUG
rnacentral:rRNA from 1 species